GAGUUUGAUCAUGGUUCAGGACGAACGCUGGCGGCGUGCUUAACACAUGCAAGUCGAACGGAGGAUACAUUGAAACCUAGUGAUAUGUAACCUUAGUGGCGGACGGGUGAGUAACGCGUGGAUAACCUGCCUAUCUGACCGGGACAACACCUGGAAACGGGUGCUAAUACCGGAUACGCUCAUCUAGUCAAAAGAAUAGAUGAGGAAAAGGGGAAACCCGCAGACAGAUGGGUCCGCGUCCCAUUAGCUAGUUGGAGGUGUAAGAGACCCCCAAGGCGACGAUGGGUAGCCGGCCUGAGAGGGUGACCGGCCACACUGGAACUGAGACACGGUCCAGACUCCUACGGGAGGCAGCAGUGGGGAAUCUUCCGCAAUGGGCGCAAGCCUGACGGAGCAACGCCGCGUGAGUGAAGAAGGCCUUCGGGUUGUAAAACUCUGUCAUCAGGGAAGAAGAAAGUGACGGUACCUGAGGAGGAAGCCCCGGCUAACUACGUGCCAGCAGCCGCGGUAAAACGUAGGGGGCGAGCGUUGUCCGGAAUUACUGGGCGUAAAGGGCGCGUAGGCGGUUAUCCAAGUCAGGGGUGAAAACCUUGGGCUCAACUCAGGGCCUGCCUCUGAAACUGGGUAACUUGAGGGCAGGAGAGGGGAG
rnacentral:rRNA from 1 species